rnacentral:rRNA from 1 species
GAUGGACGCUGGCGGCGUGCCUAAUACAUGCAAGUCGAGCGAACAGACGAGGAGCUUGCUCCUCUGACGUUAGCGGCGGACGGGUGAGUAACACGUGGAUAACCUACCUAUAAGACUGGGAUAACUUCGGGAAACCGGAGCUAAUACCGGAUAACAUGUUGAACCGCAUGGUUCAACAGUGAAAGACGGUCUUGCUGUCACUUAUAGAUGGAUCCGCGCCGCAUUAGCUAGUUGGUAAGGUAACGGCUUACCAAGGCAACGAUGCGUAGCCGACCUGAGAGGGUGAUCGGCCACACUGGAACUGAGACACGGUCCAGACUCCUACGGGAGGCAGCAGUAGGGAAUCUUCCGCAAUGGGCGAAAGCCUGACGGAGCAACGCCGCGUGAGUGAUGAAGGUCUUCGGAUCGUAAAACUCUGUUAUUAGGGAAGAACAAAUGUGUAAGUAACUAUGCACGUCUUGACGGUACCUAAUCAGAAAGCCACGGCUAACUACGUG